rnacentral:rRNA from 1 species
UACAUGGGGUGCAAACGUUGCUCGGAAUUAUUGGGCGUAAAGCGCACGUAGGCGGUUCGUUAAGUCGGAUGUGAAAGCCCUCGGCUCAACUGAGGAAGUGCACCCGAAACUGGCGAGCUUGAGUACGAAAGAGGAUCGCGGAAUUCCCGGUGUAGAGGUGAAAUUCGUAGAUAUCGGGAGGAACACCGGUGGCGAAGGCGGCGUUCUGGGUCGAUACUGACGCUGAGGUGCGAAAGCGUGGGGAGCAAACAGG